GACGAACGCUGGCGGCGUGCUUAACACAUGCAAGUCGAACGGAAGGGCCCUGCUUGCAGGGUACCCGAGUGGCGAACGGGUGAGUAACACGUGGGUGAUCUGCCCUGCACUUCGGGAUAAGCCUGGGAAACUGGGUCUAAUACCGGAUAGGAGCCAUUUUUAGUGUGAUGGUUGGAAAGUUUUUUCGGUGUAGGAUGAGCUCGCGGCCUAUCAGCUUGUUGGUGGGGUAAUGGCCUACCAAGGCGGCGACGGGUAGCCGGCCUGAGAGGGUGGACGGCCACAUUGGGACUGAGAUACGGCCCAGACUCCUACGGGAGGCAGCAGUGGGGAAUAUUGCACAAUGGGCGCAAGCCUGAUGCAGCGACGCCGCGUGGGGGAUGACGGCCUUCGGGUUGUAAACUCCUUUCGCUAGGGACGAAGCUUUUUGUGACGGUACCUAGAUAAGAAGCACCGGCUAACUACGUG
rnacentral:rRNA from 1 species